rnacentral:rRNA from 1 species
GAUGAACAGCUAGUGGGAGGCCUAAUACAUGCUAGCCAAGCGGAAUUGUUUCUUCUUAAAUGAGACAACGGCGUAAGGGUGCUGAACACUUGUGCAGCCUGCCUUUAUCUGGGGGAUACCCUUUCGAAAGGAACAUUAAUACUCCAUAAUAUAUUGAACGGCGUCGUUUAAUAUUGAAAGCUCCGGAGGAUAUAGAUGGGCACCCGCAAUAUUACCUAGUUGGUGAGGUAACGGCUCACCAAGGCGAUGAUCUUUAAGGGGCCUGAGAGGGUGAUCCCCCACACUGGUACUGAGACACGGACCAGACUCCUACGGUAAGCACCACCGAGGAAUAUUGGUCAAUGGGUGCAAUCCUGAACCAGACUUCCCGCGUGAAAGACUACUGCCCUAUGGGUUGUAAACUUCUUUUGUAUAGGGAUAAACCUACCCUCGUGAGGGUAGCUGAAUGGACUAUACCAAUAACCACCGGUUAACUCCGUGCCAGUGGCCGCGGUAAUACCGAGGGUGCAAGCGUUAUCCGGAUUUAUUGUACUUAAAGGGGUCCGUACGCGGACUUAUAAUUCAGUGGUGAAAGCCUGGCACUUAACGAUAAAACUGCCAUUGAUACUGUAAGUCUUGAGUAUAUUUGACGUAACUGGAAUAAGUAGUGUAGCGGUGAAAUGCAUAGAUAUUACUUAGAACACCAAUUGCGAAGGCAGGUGAACAAGAUAUAACUGACGCUGAGGGACGAAAGCGUGGGGAGCGAACAGGAUUAGAUACCCUGGUAGUCCACGCCGUAAACGAUGCUAACUCGUUGUUUGGGCUUUAGGGUUCAGAGACCAAGCGAAAGUGAUAAGUUAGCCACCUGGGGAGUACGCUCGCAAGAGUGAAACUCAAAGGAAUUGACGGGGGCCCGCACAAGCGGUGGAUUAUGUGGUGUAAUUGGAUGAUACGCGAGGAACCUUACCAAGACUUAAAUGGUAAUUGACAGCUUUCGAAAUAGAGCUUUCUUCGGACAAUUUUCAAGGUGCUGCAUGGUUGUCGUCAGCUCGUGCCGUGAGGUGUUAGGUUAAGUCUCGCAACGAGCGCAACCCCUGUCACUAGUUGCCAUCAUUCAGAUGGGGACUCUAGUGAGACUGCCUACCCAAGUAGAGAGGAAGGUGGGGAGGACGUCAAAUCAUCACGGCCCUUACGUCUUGGGCCACACACGUAAUACAAUGGCCGGUACAGAGGGCAGCUACACACCGAUGUGAUGCAAAUCUUGAAACCCGGUCUCAGUUCGGAUUGGAGUCUGCAACUCGACUCUAUGAAGGAGGAAUCGCUAGUAAUCGCGCAUCAGCCAUGGGGCGGUGAACAAGUUGCCCGGUCCG